GGCCAGUUAGCUCAGUCAGUUGAGCGUGGUGCUUACAACGCCAAGGACAUGGGUUCGAUUCCUGUUCGGUCCC
rnacentral:tRNA from 1 species